GCAUCUUCAUCUUCCUUCCUGUUCUACUCUUCAUUCUUCGCACAAGAAUGUUUAUUUAAUUUUCAACGUUCUCUUCCAGCCCAAAGCUGGCUUGGUCCAGACCAAAUGGAAAUAAACAUGAUUAAAGCUCUUCUAUGCUGAGAGGGAUGGAGACAAAAAUGGGUGCCAGGUCUCCACGUGCCCAGCAGAAAGGCCGCCGCGUGGACACGGUGCCGGCUGCCCAGCCCACCCUGCUCAUCUCUCCUCUGGAAGGAGAGUGAAGCACCUCCAGACCCACUUCCUGGCCAGAACUUCACUUGACAUCAUUCCUUUCUGGUGUUUUCAUUAUAUGACCUGUCCUGGGGCGAGGAUGGAAGAAGAAGCCUCUGGAACUCAGGUUGUUACCAGAAGCAUACAUCGGCUAGACUGGCACCUUUGGAAACACCAGCCUGCGGACUGGUUGUGAAAAUCUUUCAAACCUGCCUUGAAGGAGUCCCUGAGAGGUGCCACCUCACGGCAGGACACAAAUAUACACACGAAUAAACACCCAGUCCGCA